GUCGGGAUAGCUCAGUUGGUAGAGCAGAGGACUGAAAAUCUC
rnacentral:tRNA from 1 species